UGAAUGGAUUGGACAAGUUUUGCAUUUGUUGACUGAACAAAUGUGGGCGGCGUCAUUUGCGGUAAUGAACUUCGAGCAAAGGAAGUACGGCAAAGCCACAAAGUUUGUCGACACGGCCUCACGGAGGGACGAGGAGUGACAGACGAAAGGAGGUCGUUGCUGAAGAUGUGCAUGUCUCCACAAUCAGCCAGAGAUGGCCAGCCCUAUUCCUGUUGGGUCAGGUACAUGCAGAAUUCAGAAGAGUAACAGGAAAAGAAUUGAUGGAAACGUUCUUCCCCUCCUUGGAUGAGCACACCAGAGCUCCGCACCGCAGCUCACCACCCCACUCAAGUGACACUAAGGAGUCUGUUGGAGU